AUACUGCUGGCUUUGGGACCGGAGGAGGCCGAGGGGUAUCCCUUGGGGUAGGGGGUGAAUUCUAAUAAUCCCCAGGGGACCCGCCAGUGCCGAAGCCGCCCGGCUGAACGGGUUCGGCCGUUGAGGGACGAAGCCCAGGGAACCGACCCGGUUAAGUUACCCGGGUAUUCCUGCUGGUAAAGGAUCCGGCUUAGUUGUCGGGCGAGCUUGGAGCUCGCCCGGUGCCGAGGGAAGCCGCUAAGCCCGCCGCCUGGGGAGUACGGCCGCAAGGCUGAAACUUAAAGGAAUUGGCGGGGGAGCACUACAAGGGGUGGAGCGUGCGGUUUAAUUGGAUUCAACGCCGGGAACCUCACCGGGGGCGACGGCAGGAUGAAGGCCAGGCUGAAGGUCUUGCCGGACGCGCCGAGAGGAGGUGCAUGGCCGCCGUCAGCUCGUACCGUGAGGCGUCCACUUAAGUGUGGUAACGAGCGAGACCCGCGCCCCCAGUUGCCAGUCCUCCCCGCUGGGGAGGAGGCACUCUGGGGGGACCGCCGGCGAUAAGCCGGAGGAAGGAGCGGGCGACGGUAGGUCAGUAUGCCCCGAAACCCCCGGGCUACACGCGCGCUACAAUGGGCGGGACAAUGGGAACCGACCCCGAAAGGGGAAGGGAAUCCCCUAAACCCGCCCCCAGUUCGGAUUGCGGGCUGCAACUCGCCCGCAUGAAGCUGGAAUCCCUAGUACCCGCGUUCAU
rnacentral:rRNA from 1 species